AGUCACGUGAUCAUUUUUUAACUAACCUAUGGGAGGAGCCAUGAGAGUGACGUAGGCUGCAGAAAUUCACUUCAGUUUAUCAAGAUUUAGUUAUGUCGAUGAAAACGGCCACAGAAACAACAGGAACUCCCUUCGACUUCUGGACCAUGAAAAACAUUUGAACAGAGUGUUUUAGAGUGGCUCAGACCGGUAUAUCUGCCCUUGGGCUAUACGACAGUUAUGGGAGAGUCAGGAACCUGUCGCCUGUCCAGGAUGCAGUCAGGUUACCUCAUUAGUAUAAUCACCUGUAAGAAGACACUUCAAC